ACAGGGCUUCCGCGGGGUCGCUAAAGGUAUUAAAAGGUGGUAAAUGAAAUUAGCCCAAAUUAAGGCCAAUAAAAAGUAUUUAAAAGUAAUAAACGUCAUCUGACGAGGUAUUACAUUUCCAACUAGGCCUAUGAGUUUUUAAAUUUCUGUAAUUUACGUGCAGGCCUAUCUCCUAAAAUUACUAAAAUUGCGUGGAUUUAUUUUUAUGUUGCGAGUAGGCCCUGAGCGAUAUCAAUGAUGUUGCGUGGUGCGUGCGCUGAAACAAACUGGACAUACCUGGCUGGCUUGCUGCCAAAGCUCUUCGCGAGUUCACUUCUGUUAGUUCAAAGUCAUUUGAAAGACAAUAAUGUGGGAAAUGCAAAUUUUCGGACCUCUGGCUCAAGGAUUCGAUAUUCAAAGACUUGUACAGUAUAAACGUUUGAAGUACCACGGUGUGAAUUUGCGCUACGGUAUGGAUUUUGACGUUACCGUGAGACCGGUGUGACCGGUAGACACCAGCAUGGACACUUCUGAUCCGAUUAGAAGUAGAAGAACGGCUCAAUCGGAAUAAAAAAUUAUCAUAUAUACGCCUCAAUCGGAAUAGAAUUCUCUGAUCGGAAUAGAAUUCUAUGAGGAAUAGAAGAGGGGUUAGCUAUAAUCGACGUCCGAUUGGUUUGGGGUGGGUGCGGCUACUUAACUUGGAGAGAUGGCAUCAGCAGCUGCAGCAGUUCGCAAUUGGUCCGUCUGUACUUUUAUGCACACCGAACUUGACCGCUGUCAAGAAAUCUUAAUUUUUGGCCUGAUUCACGCUUUCCUUCACCCACUCCAUAAGUAGUCCGGUAACUUAUCAACCCCAGCGUGUCUGGUUGCUAAGCGACGUCAACUUCUUUGGCAGACUAUUUCUCUGCUGAUCAACACUACGAAUGAUAAUUGUAAAAAGACACACCGUGUGAAGAUAUUGUUUCGUUUUGGCAAGGAGCCAUGUAAUAAUUAUAGAACGUCGCCGGUCAUUAUCGAAAAUAAAACACUCCGGGCGAAGCAAGACGCCUCCACUUCGCGUCGGUGUCCUGUUCGCCCUGUCGGGGCUUAUUUUCUCGAUAAUGACCGGCGUUCUGUACUACAACAUUAUCCCUUACAUAUAUCAUAUAAGUCAAGACCAACAUAACGAUUGUGCGCGAGAGACAUACGAACGAACGCUUACCACUUUUGUAAAUGCCAUAUAUCCAGUACAUUCGGAUUGCAUGACAGGAAUAGUGAAAGCUUGUGACAGAUGUCACUGCCUGUAACAUUGGGCCAUUGGCAUGUCUGCUCAUUUGGCCUUUAGUGGAGAAAAGUGCCUUAAUAAAGUAAAUAUUGUGGGUAAGCCACUACCAAAGAGGCCAGGACAGGCAGAAUAUCUUGUCAACUAUGUGCCCUACACCAAUCUCUGCAUCACACUUCCGUAUACAAGCUCAACUUUGAUGCCAGCAGUUUGAAGUCAUGCUGGUAUAUUGUAAUAUUGUGAAGGUAUUAAAUAAAGUAGUAAAUACCACUUAAGAAUUUCUGUAUAAACCCUGGAGGACAAGGACCAGCUGGAGAAGGGGUGAGGUGGUUCGGAGAAGGAGAAGGAGUGAGGUUCAGAGAAGGAGUGAGGUUCAGAGAAGAAGUGAGGUUCAGAGGAGGAGAAGGAGUGAGGUUCAGAGAAGGAGUGAGGUUCAGAGGAGGAGAAGGAGUGAGGUUCAGAGGAGGAGAAUGAGUGAGGUUCAGAGGAGGAGAAUGAGUGAGGUUCAGAGGAGGAGGAGGAGUGAGGUUCAGAAGAGGAGGAGGAGGAGUGAGGUUCAGAAGAGGAGGAGGAGUGAGGUUCAGAGGAGGAGGAGUGAGGUUCAGAGGAGGAGGAGUGAGGUUCAGAGAAGGAGGUGUGAGGUCUAAGUGGCAAACCCUUUGCUCACCCUUAUUCCAUCUUCAGGUUAGAGGCAAAGGUUGUCUGUGAACAUUUCCUUGAAAGCCCGCACAGAGGGUUUAACGUGACGUUGUCUUAUUUAUUAAACAAUAAUCCCGUUGACUUUCCAGGAAAAUAAAACGAAAUAAACAUAAACAAUGUCGCUAUUCAAUGCGAAGAAUAAGGUGAAGAAUAAUGUAAAUAAUACGAAUAAUGUGGUCAAAAAAUAGUUUGAUCUCUUGCCUUCCAACCUCAAAAAAUAUGUUCCCUGCCGUAUCUGAGGGCCUCCUAUAGGCUGCAGCUAGAGGAGCGCGACACACCUAUUUCACCGCACACCGCCACAACAUGCACACUGUGUCUCCUCUGCAGUCAGAGGCACCAGAGAAGGACUGGGAGGAUCAAAGGAUCUAGCAGAGCCAGCCGCUGCAAGCAUUCAUAUUUAACUGCUGCUCAGAAAGAGAGUUAAUAAUGAAUGUUUAAUAACGGGCUGAGCAACGUGUCAAAUCAAACACCCGAUAAACGCAUCAACUCAAGGGGCCGUUGCUCGAGAGAAGAAUAACUGAAUAUUAAUUUAGUCGGUAGGAUUGACGCAAUUCUGCUUCUUCUCAAUCUCAAAGAAACAUAGCAUUCCUAUUUGAAGUACUAAAGCAGGUCAUUACAGCUCUGAGUUUGAUUCACUCAGGCGAGCUCAGUGUCACUCAUUAACACUCUAUUCAGUCUGCGUUAAACAUCACAUUAUAUAGAAAAGGGAAGAGCUCUGUCUUGAUUUGGGAAAGCAGCAGGGGAAAGACUUCAUUACCCAUGAGCCUCCACCGUCCCACAAUCACUCAGAAUGGUAAACUUAAAUGUCGGGGAAACCCGACGUUGAAGAUGUGAUUCAUGUAUUUACUUUUAUGCAAUCGACUCUGGCCUAGUCAGUCAAAGCAGCAGGUUAAAGAAUACAUUACCCAUGUGCCUCCACUGUCCCACAUGACUCAUAAGUCAUGCUGUAAUCCAUUGGGAUGGUACACCUGUACGUGCAAGUUGUAAGUUGCAAAUCUCCCAGGUUUCUUGCGGCAAUUCACUGAGGCACGCCCCCUUUUGGUCCUAGUAUCCCUUCGCUUUGAAAGUAGAGGGAGUUCAGUGAUGCCGAACGUUAGCCUGGUCCUACCAGACUCUCGUACUUCAUUUGUACAGAGAGUCUGGACCUACUCGAUUGAUAAACGUUAACUCACUUGAAGGCGGGUGUCUGUUGAAGUUUAAAACUAUUAGAUCUGCCCAGUGCAGGGCU